GAGUGUGUAGCUCAGAAGGAGAGCAAUUGACUUUUAAUCAGUUGGUCCAGAGUUCGAUCUCCUGUAUUCCCUC
rnacentral:tRNA from 1 species